AAAUAAGUUUGAAAUAUAAAUUUAGAGACAUCCGAACAACCCCGGACAAUAUUUGAUAUCAAUAUUGCAAUCGUGUUUUUGUCACGACAUCGAUUUUUUCUCUAAAUACUGAAAUCUACGAUCUAUACCACUCGGAACCGUAACCAUAACCCGUUAAAAUGCUGUUUAUCAUUUACCGCUACACCUGCGAUCUAUUUAUCUUUUGUCUACUUAUAUUUAAAUCUAAAUUCGUCUCAUAAGAUUUAUACCUUAGCUCAUAAUGUAAAUGGAAUGAAAAUUAUUUCGAUUUAGCGAGCCCGAAAACUCAAACCAGCUGAAGAUGAAGGGGAAUUAAUGCACCUUGUUGAAGUGAACGAAUUCUCUGAUCUUGGCAGAUAUGUUAUUUUGAAACCAUCUGUAAAGAAGGCUAUUUAUGUUCUUUUACUUCAGCACCAUCUUGGAAUUGGCGAUGAUGUAUUGUAAAUUAAAAUGAAAAAGGAAACAGUGUUUUGAAAGCCUCUCAGCUGUUACAAACGCCAUCUUAGCUGCUACCUUCAGACUGUUCAAAGAGACUAGCUGCUACCUUCAGACUGUUUAAAGAAACUAGCUGACUAGAAAAAGCUGAAAAAUUUGGUGAAGUUCUUGCCACCGCCAAUGGCCGGGAAGGCAGGAAGACUAAGUUUGCGCCUCAACUGCCACAGUUUUGUUUUAGAAACAAUUGAUUGUAUUAAAGAAUACAAUAAAUUAUAGAAAUUAGUA